CAGGGGAGCCUGGCAUGCUACAGUCCACAGGCUUGCAAAGAGUUGGACACGACUGAAUGACUAAACAACAACAAUAAAUUUAUACCUUUAUUUAGUAUUUUGUGUUCUUUUCUUAUGCUUUGGUAAUUUAGGGGUCAGUUUCUUCACUAUACAUUUGGUACUUUCAUAUUUUGUAAAACCAUGUUUACUAUAUACACGAGUUGUGAUCCUCCUUUUCAAACUUAACAUUCAAAUGUGAUUAUUUUUCCCAAGUCAUUAAAUCAUCUCCAAAGUUCAACUUAAACAUCUGUGUGCCAUUCAAAGAGAGGUUACUUAUUCAACCAUCCUCCUAAUGUCAUAUUUUUAGGUUAUUUCUAUUUUUAUUAUGAUCAUGCACCACAGCUGAAUAAACAUCAUAAAUCUUCAUUAAUAAUUCUGAUUAUUAUCUAAAGGUGAAUUUCUAUGAGUAGAAAUCUUGGACCAACAGAACAUUUUAAAGGCUUUUGGUUGGUAUUGCAAAACACUCCUCUCAUGACUCCAAUAUAUAUUUUCAUCUCUCAGAUUUCCACAACAAUGAGAUCAUCAAAUACAAGGCUCCAAGUGGAGAGUUGAUUGAAUUAUCCAGUUUGGAUGACUGUACAGACUAGAUAAAGAAAACAAUUGCCAAAUAUUCAGUACAGUGGAGACAGUGCUUUAGUGGGAAGAGUAAAACAACAAUUUCUUACUAUGUGAGCUCAAUUAUAUUUAUGAUCUUAUUUAAUCUUACCAAUAACUCUCAAAGAAAUAAGCUAACAUUUACUGAGCACUUACCUCUCACAGCCUCUGUUCUGGAUUCUGUGUGUACAUAUGAUCCUGAAUCCCCACAGCAACCCUUUCCUUCAGGUUUGAUUAUCUCUAUUUUACAGAUAUGGAAGAAACUCAAAUAACUUGCCUAAGAUCCCUACCAACUGAGUACUAGUACUAAUUGCAAAACUUGGGAUUUUUGAAGUGCAACAUAUGGUUUCCCUGCAACUGUUUCAUGAAUUAAUUACAGACUUCUUAGUGGAGUAAGAAAGGUGUAUCAAGAAAAUGAUUGAAUUUUGUCAAGUCAUUAAGGAAUCUUUUGUGGGCUACCAAAUGACUGUGGUUAGUUUUUUUUUUUUUUAAGGACAUCCAAAUGCAUUCAAAGAGCUAAGGUGACUUACUAACUGCAAUUAAUAGAAGAGUCCAAGGACUGAAUACCUUAAGAGAAUCCAGUUCUGAUGUAUGAGUUAACAUAUCUAGAUUAAAGGCUAGAUAUUAUAAUUCACAAAACUGACAGUAAUUAGAAAAUUGGCUUUUGUAUACAUUCCUAUUCCCAAAGCUAAUGUUUGUAUAAAGACUUUUAUCUUGAUUAGAGGUACUAGAAAUAAAAUAUUUGUGCAUCUUACUUCCUAGUUUCAAAUUCUAGCUGUUGAAUAUAUGAAGUUUUAUUUAUUCAGGGAAUUUCUUAAAACAUUUUCAAAACAUGUGUAAAACUUAAUUCAUUAAUUUAUUAUAGGAAAAUUAGGGAAUUCCCUGGGUCCAGUGGUUAGGACUCUGUGCUUCCACUGCAGAGGAACUAAGAUCCCACAAGCCACGUGGCACAGCCAAAAAGAAAAAAAAAAAAAAAAAAAAGGCAAAUUAGCCCUCAUUUGCUCUUUAGUAGGCCAUUAAUAGUUAUCUGAGUUGGCCUACCUCUCCAUGCUGGUUAUCACAAGGGCUGCCAGAGGAGGAAUGUGCCCAGUUGCUCCAAUAUAUUUGAUGACUGAAUGAAGAAUGAUGAAUAAAAGUAAAAGAUUGACCUCUGCAACAAUUAGUAAACAACUCAAGACAGCAUAUAAUUAAACCCUAAAUUGCAUGGUUGAGGCAGAAUUACAGGUGAGCCUGGUACAAUGCCAUUUAUUCCCUAUUCAAGUUGAGCUGGCUGGGACUGACUCGUCUCAUCCAGCACUGCCAACUCAGGUGUUCCUACUGGCCAUGUGUUCUUUAAGGACUCAUUUUUCAGAUGUCCUUGAGGCUGCCUGCAGACCAGGGUACUGUAAGGGGAGGAUGACAUAAAAAAGCAAGAUUGUGGGAUCAGUCUGGAUUUGGAUCCAGUCUUCAGCUGAGUCUGGAUACUCUAAAUCCCGCUUUCUUCAUCUGUGAAAAUUCAAAAUAAUAUACAUGAAGUCUCUCUCUUAGUAUAUGACUCUUAGUGGGUCAUCUGGUACAAGAAUACCAGUUGUUUACAGCUAGCACUUCUUCUGAUUGGUCAGUUCUAAUGACUUGACCAUUGUUUUACAAAUUUAUUUAAUGUAAUCCUUGGUGGGUGCUCUAUAAGUAGUGGUUAUAUUGAUAAAAUUUUGAGUCAGAAGUAAAACUGCUGCUGCUGCUGCUGCUAAGUCACUUCAGUAGUGUCCAACUCUGUGCGACCCCAUGGACUGCAGCCCACCAGGCUCCUCUGUCCAUGGGAUUUUGCAGGCAAGAGUACUGGAGUGGGUUGCCAUUGCCUUCUCCAAGAGGUAAAGCUAGGGCAGAGAAAUGGAGUAAUCCAGGGCCAUUUCCAUGAUCCAUGCUGCAUGCUUGAUUUUGCACACUCUUUAAAUCUCAAACAAAUGGAAUCUGUCUAUUGACCCAGAGUUUUAAGAGACUACAUUUUUCCAAGAUGUAAGAUCCUCUGAUAGAAGCACAGUCCCCAGUUAGUCCCACGUGAAACCCCUCUCUUAGUCAACUCCGUCUGUCCCUUCUUCCCCAUCCCCUUCACAUGUUAGGCUGAGAAAUUUGGAUCCUGGAGCUGCCCAGACUCCAGCUGUUUGAUAUUGUGAGGCUGAUGGCAGCAGAGGGCAGGGGGCAACAGGCUCCAGAUGAAAGCAAAAAUUCAAACAGAACGAGACCUCAGAGAUUUGAUACCAAACUCAGUGGGUAACAGCCUCUGUUAAAUUUGUUCAGUCAGCCAUUUAAGAGGGAAGGAGUUUCUCACACAUCCUGGAAGGGUAUUUAGUGAUGAGAUGCUUCCAAAGAAGGGGAUCAGUAUUUCAGGGACUGAGCAGAGCAGAAUCAAAUGUCAAAGCUGCCAGAGCAAGCUUAGAGACAGGUCAAGCAAGAACCCAGUUUCUGGAGGAUGCUUGAUGAGUUGGAACAAUUCCACCAUCCACAUUUUCUGCCAUUGGUCAACACACCCACAGGGUCAAGAAAAGACUAAGGAAUUGCUGCAGAUUAAGAAGACCAAGGAUACGUAAAAACUGCAUUCAAUGUGGGAUCCUGCACUGACUCCAGAGCAGAAAAAGGACAUUAGAGGAAGCACUGAUGAAAUCUAAAACAGUCCAUGGUUUAGUUAAUAGUACUGUAAUGAUGUUUCUUAGUUUUGAUUACUGAACUUGGUUGUUAAGGAUGAUAGCAAUAGAGAAAUCGAGUGGAGGACGUAAAGGAACUCACUGUACUGUUUUUGCAACUUUUAUAAAGUUACUUGAAUAAAAAGUUGAAAAAAAUGAAGGGGGUCCAUGCAGGUAAAAAGGAAGAGGUGGAUGAAAGAGAAAAGUGGGUACAGCAUGUCUGAAGUUCUCUGGCAGUGAAUGCACUGUAGGAAUGGAAGUAAGUUCAGAAUGGCUCAAUAGAGCGGGGAGGUGGGGAUUUUCUUCUUUUACAUCAUAAUGGAAAAAUCACAGUUUCUCAUUUUAAGUCACUCAUUUAAAAACUGGAGGACCAUUCAAGCGGCCAUGGGCUAGUCUUGGCUUUCACAAAUGUUCAGGCCUACUCUGGAGCUACAGACAGCACCUCCAGGACUUGCUCUAGAUGUUUCAAAAGAGUAUGUGAGUGCUUAGCCAGGGGCCAGAUUGGGGGUCACCUGGAGAGCCUGGGGACUUGUAUCUCACAGACCCCUCAGACAUAUUAAGUAGGGAAGUCAAAUCUUAGGGUUACUUAAGACAGCAUGGAAAGAACACAACGGGACUAGGGCUUUUGGUCCAAAUGUUAAAGGACAUCUAUUAUCACAGUGAAGCUGUCCAUGCCACUAGGAUUGCAUGGGUCGUCAUGGGGCCACAUCUUCCCCUGAGCUGAGCUCAACUGGGUCUUG